rnacentral:rRNA from 1 species
AGAGUUUGAUCCUGGCUCAGAAUCAACGCUGGCGGCGUGCCUCAGACAUGCAAGUCGAACGCGAAAGGUUCCUUCGGGGACCGAGUAGAGUGGCGUCCGGGUGAGUAACACGUGGGUAAUCUACCUUCGGGUGGGGAAUAACGACCGGAAACGGUCGCUAAUACCGCAUAAUGCAGCGGCACCUAAUGGUGACAGUUGUUAAAGCGGGGGAUCGCAAGACCUCGCGCCUGAAGAGGAGCCCGCGGCGGAUUAGCUAGUUGGCAGGGUAACGGCCUACCAAGGCGACGAUCCGUAGCCGGCCUGAGAGGGCGGUCGGCCACACUGGCACUGACACACGGGCCAGACUCCUACGGGAGGCAGCAGUCGGGAAUUUUGGGCAAUGGGCGAAAGCCUGACCCAGCAACGCCGCGUGAAGGAUGAAAUCCCUCGGGAUGUAAACUUCACAAGAACGGGAAGAAUAAGUGGGGGCCAAUACCCCCCAUGAUGACGGUACUGUUUGUAAGCUCCGGCUAACUUCGUGCCAGCAGCCGCGGUAAUACGGGGGGAGCAAGCGUUGUUCGGAUUUACUGGGCGUAAAGGGCGCGUAGGCGGCGCAACAAGUCACUUGUGAAAUCUCGGGGCUCAACCCCGAGCGGCCAAGUGAUACUGUCGUGCUUGGAGUGCGGAAGGGGCAACCGGAAUUCUUGGUGUAGCGGUGAAAUGCGUAGAUAUCAAGAGGAACACCUGCGGCGAAAGGCGGGUUGCUGGGCCGACACUGACGCUGAGCGCGAAAGCUAGGGGAGCGAACGGGAUUAGAUACCCCGGGUAGUCCUAGCCUUAAACGAUGAUUGCUUGGUGUCCGAGGUAGAUAGUCCUUCGGGUGCCGUCGCUACGCUUUAAGCAUUCCGCCUGGGGAGUACGGUCGCAGACUGAAACUCCAAAGGAUUUGACGGGAACCCGACCAAGCGUGGGGAACUUG